CCUCUCCACUGAUGAAUUGCACUGGGCUCUGAGUUUGUGUGAAGACCACUGUGCAUCUUUGGCCCUGACAAGCCAGAGUUUGAGGAGAAG
rnacentral:snoRNA from 1 species